rnacentral:rRNA from 1 species
AUUGAACGCUGGCGGCAGGCCUAACACAUGCAAGUCGAACGAGUGGCGGACGGGUGAGUAAUAUAUCGGAACGUGCCUAGUAGCGGGGGAUAACUACUCGAAAGAGUGGCUAAUACCGCAUACUAUUGGAGCGGCCGAUAUGGGAUUAGCUAGUUGGUGGGGUAACGGCUCACCAAGGCAACGAUCCGUAGCUGGUUUGAGAGGACGACCAGCCACACUGGGACUGAGACACGGCCCAGACUCCUACGUGAGGCAGCAGUGGGGAAUUUUGGACAAUGGGGGAAAGCCUGAUCCAGCCAUGCCGCGUGUAUGAGAAGGCCCUCGGGUUGUAAAGUACUUUCAGUCGGGAGGCGUUACCGACAGAAGAAGCACCGGCUAACUCCGUGCCAGCAGCCGCGGUAAUUC